rnacentral:scRNA from 1 species
CUGGUCUGAGGCUGAAGCUGCAGCGCUGCUGUAACGGCGCCGUGUGCUGGAGCUCGGCCUGUGAGACCCAGAUUAUAACAGAGGAGGCCGGACAGGUCGACCCUGGCAGUUACAGGUGUGAGCAUGCAUUCAGCCGCUUGAUGCUCAUGUAUGAUGCUGCAGACACUU